rnacentral:lncRNA from 1 species
CAUUUUGAGUUUAAUUUUUAUAGGCCUUGACUUGUCAAGUGCCUAAGUGUAUGUUUAAUUUUCUAUAUCUUUAAUUUCAGCCACUUACUUUGGGUUUUAUUGAGGCAAAAAUUAAUAGGAUUUCUGGGAGUCUGGUCUUGGAGUGUCUGGGGAAUGAACUUGAAAAACAGAAAAAACCAACAUGCUUUCCAAGAUUGCAGUGAAACUGUGAAGCUCUGCCGCUAUCUUCUUCUCUACACUAAGCAAUCACUUCAGCUCUUGCACACUUUGAACUCAUCUUGCAUGCUUGACAUGGUUUGUUGCCUCUGGAUAUAUUGCAACAGCAGGCUGCAAUCUCAAUACAAAUUGCUUUCUGGGAGAGAAGGAGACUUGCCAGUUUCAGGAGAAAUGUACUUAAGAGUAUAUUCACACCACUGA